rnacentral:rRNA from 1 species
AUUGAACGCUAGCGGGAUGCUUUACACAUGCAAGUCGAACGAGUGGCGGACGGGUGAGUAAUAUAUCGGAACGUGCCCAGUAGUGGGGGAUAACUACUCGAAAGAGUGGCUAAUACCGCCUCCUAUUGGAGCGGCCGAUAUCGGAUUAGCUAGUUGGUGGGGUAAAGGCCCACAAAGGCAACGAUCCUUAGCUGGUUUGAGAGGACGAGCAGCCACACUGGGACGGAGACACGGCCCAGACGCCUACGGGAGGCAGCAGUGGGGAAUUUUGGACAAUGGGGGAAACCCUGAUCCAGCAAUGCCGCGUGUAUGAGAAGGCCUUCGGGUUGUAAAGUACUUUUGGCAGAGAAGCGGUAUCUGAAGAAUAAGCACCGGCUAACUACGUGCCAGCAGCCGCGGUAAUAC